rnacentral:misc_RNA from 1 species
AAGUCGUAACAAGGUUUCCGUAGGUGAACCUGCGGAAGGAUCAUUAAAGAGUAAGGGUUAAUAGCCCGACCUCCAACCCUUUGUUGUUAUAACUACCUCGUUGCUUUGGCGGGACCGCUCGGUCUCGAGCCGCUGGGGAUUCGUCCCAGGCGAGUGCCCGCCAGAGUUAAACCAAACUCUUGUUAUUAAACCGGUCGUCUGAGUUAAAAUUUUAAUUAAAUUAAAA